rnacentral:tRNA from 1 species
GUUUCUGUGGAGCAAUCGCUUAGCAUGUUCGGCUGUUAACCAAAAAGUUGGUGGUUUGAGCCCACCCAGGAAUG